GCAGAGCAUCUACGGGAGGCAGCAGUGGGGAAUAUUGCACAAUGGGCGCAAGCCUGAUGCAGCCAUGCCGCGUGUAUGAAGAAGGCCUUCGGGUUGUAAAGUACUUUCAGCAGUGAGGAAGGUGGGUAUGUUAAUAGCAUAUUCAUUUGACGUUAGCUGCAGAAGAAGCACCGGCUAACUCCGUGCCAGCAGCCGCGGUAAUACGGAGGGUGCGAGCGUUAAUCGGAAUUACUGGGCGUAAAGCGCAUGCAGGUGGUUUGUUAAGUCAGAUGUGAAAGCCCGGGGCUCAACCUCGGAAUUGCAUUUGAAACUGGCAAACUAGAGUACUGUAGAGGGGGUAGAAUUUCAGGUGUAGCGGUGAAAUGCGUAGAGAUCUGAAGGAAUACCGGUGGCGAAGGCGGCCCCCUGGACAGAUACUGACACUCAGAUGCGAAAGCGUGGGGAGCAAACAGGAUUAGAUACCCUGGUAG
rnacentral:rRNA from 1 species